rnacentral:tRNA from 1 species
GCGGAUGUGGCGGAAUUGGCAGACGCGCAAGCCUCAGGAGCUUGUGGUGGCAACACCGUGGUGGUUCGAAUCCACUCAUCCGCACCA